CCUACGGGAGGCAGCAGUCGAGAAGCAGGCACAAGGGGGGAAACCCUGAUGGUGCGAAGGAGCGUGGGGGAAUGAAGGUCGGCGGAUUGUAAACCCCUGUCAUGUGGGAGCAAAUUAAAAAGAUAGUACCACAAGAGGAAGAGAAGGCUAACUCGCUGCCAGCUGCCGCGGUAAUACAGAGGUCUCAAGCGUUGUUCGGAAUCACUGGGCGUAAAGCGUGCGUAGGCUGUUUCGUAAGUCGUGUGUGAAAGGCGCGGGCUCAACCCGCGGACGGCACAUGAUACUGCGAGACUAGAGUAAUGGAGGGGGAACCGGAAUUCUCGGUGUAGCAGUGAAAUGCGUAGAUAUCGAGAGGAACACUCGUGGCGAAGGCGGGUUCCUGGACAUUAACUGACGCUGAGGCACGAAGGCCAGGGGAGCGAAAGGGAUUAGAUACCCUUGUAGUC
rnacentral:rRNA from 1 species